rnacentral:rRNA from 1 species
AACGAACGCUGGCGGCAGGCCUAACACAUGCAAGUCGAGCGAAGCCUUCGGGCUUAGCGGCGGACGGGUGAGUAACGCGUGGGAACGUGCCCUUUGGUACGGAAUAGCCCCGGGAAACUGGGAGUAAUACCGUAUGUGGUCGAGAGACGAAAGAUUUAUCGCCAAAGGAUCGGCCCGCGUUGGAUUAGGUAGUUGGUGGGGUAAUGGCCUACCAAGCCGACGAUCCGUAGCUGGUUUGAGAGGAUGAUCAGCCACACUGGGACUGAGACACGGCCCAGACUCCUACGGGAGGCAGCAGUGGGGAAUCUUAGACAAUGGGGGAAACCCUGAUCUAGCCAUGCCGCGUGAUCGAUGAAGGCCUUAGGGUUGUAAAGAUCUUUCAGUGGGGAAGAUAAUGACUGUACCCACAGAGGAAGCCCCGGCUAACUCCGUGCCAGCCGCCGCAGUAAGAC